rnacentral:rRNA from 1 species
GACGAACGCUGGCGGCGUGCCUAAUACAUGCAAGUAGAACGCUGAAGGAGGAGCUUGCUCUUCUGGAUGAGUUGCGAACGGGUGAGUAACGCGUAGGUAACCUGCCUGGUAGCGGGGGAUAACUAUUGGAAACGAUAGCUAAUACCGCAUAACAGUAGAUGUUGCAUGACAUUUGCUUAAAAGGUGCAAUUGCAUCACUACCAGAUGGACCUGCGUUGUAUUAGCUAGUUGGUGGGGUAACGGCUCACCAAGGCGACGAUACAUAGCCGACCUGAGAGGGUGAUCGGCCACACUGGGACUGAGACACGGCCCAGACUCCUACGGGAGGCAGCAGUAGGGAAUCUUCGGCAAUGGACGGAAGUCUGACCGAGCAACGCCGCGUGAGUGAAGAAGGGUUUCGGAUCGUAAAGCUCUGUUGUAAGAGAAGAACGAGUGUGAGAGUGGAAAGUUCACACUGUGACGGUAUCUGACCAGAAAGGGACGGCUAACUACGUG